UGUGCGUGCGUCUUGCGCAUG
rnacentral:misc_RNA from 1 species